rnacentral:rRNA from 1 species
UACGUAGGGAGCAAGCGUUGUCCGGAAUCAUUGGGCGUAAAGCGCGCGUAGGUGGCCAUGUAAGUCCGCUAUGAAAGUCAAAGGCUCAACCCUUGAAAGCCGGUGGAUACUGCAUGGCUAGAGUACGGAAGAGGCGAGUGGAAUUCCUGGUGUAGCGGUGGAAUGCGCAGAUAUCAGGAGGAACACCAAUAGCGAAGGCAGCUCGCUGGGACGUCACUGACACUGAGGCGCGAAAGCGUGGGGAGCGAACAGG